GAUGAACGCUGGCGGCGUGCCUAAUACAUGCAAGUCGAGCGAACUGAUUAGAAGCUUGCUUCUAUGACGUUAGCGGCGGACGGGUGAGUAACACGUGGGCAACCUGCCUGUAAGACUGGGAUAACUUCGGGAAACCGAAGCUAAUACCGGAUAGGAUCUUCUCCUUCAUGGGAGAUGAUUGAAAGAUGGUUUCGGCUAUCACUUACAGAUGGGCCCGCGGUGCAUUAGCUAGUUGGUGAGGUAACGGCUCACCAAGGCAACGAUGCAUAGCCGACCUGAGAGGGUGAUCGGCCACACUGGGACUGAGACACGGCCCAGACUCCUACGGGAGGCAGCAGUAGGGAAUCUUCCGCAAUGGACGAAAGUCUGACGGAGCAACGCCGCGUGAGUGAUGAAGGCUUUCGGGUCGUAAAACUCUGUUGUUAGGGAAGAACAAGUACAAGAGUAACUGCUUGUACCUUGACGGUACCUAACCAGAAAGCCACGGCUAACUACGUGCCAGCCGCCGCCGUAACAC
rnacentral:rRNA from 1 species